UUUCAAAAUCUUCUCGCCGAAAAAGAAGAAGAGCUAUGAGAAAUAGGAAAGCCGAUUAUCCUUCUCCAAGAAGCAGUCCUGAUCAUUUCCUUAAUAUUGAUAAAACAUCAAAUGCUGGUGUCUUGAUAGCUCACUCCAGCCCUGAUAGAGAUUGUGCUCCUGGUGAAGAUCCUUCUGAGAUGAGCGACAGCUUGCUGAUAGAAAAAACUGAACCAGGCAUGAAGCUGGGGUCCACUAAAAUUUCUGGAAAUGAACUGCAGUCUGCUGAAACUUCUAGUGUUUUAAAUUCAACAGUCAAUGAUGAGUUAGCGAUGGCAAAAAUGGACUCCCCCAGACAGGAAAGUAGAACCUUGGAGAACUUAGCGGUUCAUAUCGACAGACCUGAUUUUGUAACUGUUAGCAGUCAGCCAGGGAACUCAUUGUCAAAGAUAGCUGAUGUAUAUGGUGAAGUUCCUAGUGAAACUCCGAAAGAUAGAGUAAUCAAAUACACUUUUCAAAGAAAGAGGAAGAGAGAGCAGUUGAGUGUAUCAGAAGAGAGUGCUCGAAUUGAGAAGAGCUCUCCAAAGGAAGUAAAUGGAGAAAAAGCAAAUGGUCAUGUAGAGCCAAAAAUGUCAAAUUCAGCGACAGAAUCAUCACGGGACAGUCGCCGAAUGGCACAGGUUGCACGACAGCUAAUUUCUUUGUCUGAGAAGAAGUGGUGGAAGUGAAUAAAGAGUUCACGCCAACGCGGAGUAGUGGCAGCAGAAAUCCAUGAUGUUCUUUCCACCCUUGGAGAUCAUUUCGAGAAGGACGCGAAGGAUAAGGACUGAGAGUUGAUUGAAUUGAUAAAUGAAGGCAUGAUAUUA
rnacentral:misc_RNA from 1 species